UAUAAACCUCAGCAUUGUUAGCUCAAGAGCAGAUGAGCUGCAAUAAGAGAGGAGCUGACACCAUAAUGCAAAUGGGCACCCACAGCUUCUGAGGGCUGCUGUACUAAGGACUGCAGGCUGGGCACUGCUGGAGGACAGAAGGCUCAUGAGAAGAAAGGGAAGAACAGCACAGGCAAGAUGAAUGAGGUCUUGCAUGAAUAAGAAUCAGACCCCUGGUUGUCCUUUUGGUGUGCAGCAUGUCAGCACCCCUCCUGCAGACUCUGAGGAAGUUUCCUUUGAGCUGAGAACAGUAUAUGACAACUUCUGUGCUGUCAGCACUAGAUACAAGUCUGAAAAUCUCAUGCAUUAGCACCUGUGGAUGCACUGGAAGCCUCAAACACCCUGUAUGAAAGCCCAGGAAGAAAGGCAUCAGCAACGUGCCAGCAUUUCUGAUCUUACCGACCGCAUACUCCUUCCCAGAAAGCCCUUCAUUUUCCAAGCACUUCUGCUCACCCUCUGGGUGACCAUCCAGCGUGUGAUGGCAAGCAAUGAGUGAUCUCCCAUCUUCAUCUCAACCCACCAGCUGUCUCAUUCACGGCAUUUUCAUAUUUUCUCCCCACACCUCACCGGUUAUGGGAAGACUUCACUUGAGUUUGUGUCUCCUAGGUCUGAAGGACUUUCCAUCAAGCCCAAUAUUUCAGAUAGGAGACCCAAGCCCAGCCUGACCUCUCCUCUCCUUCUGUUCCAGUUCAGGCAACAACUGAGAUGCGCUUUAAGUUUGAACAGAGUUGUUAUUAAGAAAAGCACUUGAUCAGGAUUUGGG
ensembl:lncRNA